rnacentral:rRNA from 1 species
AUACGGAGGAUCCGAGCGUUAUCCGGAUUUAUUGGGUUUAAAGGGUGCGCAGGCGGUUUGCUAAGCGGGAGGUGAAAUGCCGGCGCUCAACGUCGGAAGUGCCUCCCGAACUGGUGGACUUGAAUGACUCUGCCGUGGGAGGAAUGUGUAGUGUAGCGGUGAAAUGCUUAGAGAUUACACAGAACACCGAUUGCGAAGGCAUCUCACGAAGGGUUGAUUGACGCUGAGGCACGAAAGCGUGGGGAUCAAACAGGAUUAGAUACCCUGGUAGUCCACGCAGUAAACGAUGAUGGCUAACCGCUGGGCUUAUCAGUUCAGUGGCCAAGCGAAAGCAAUAAGCCAUCCACCUGGGGAGUACGACCGCAAGGUUGAAACUCAAAUGAAUUGACGGGG